AACGAACGCUGGCGGCAGGCUUAACACAUGCAAGUCGAACGCACCUUUCGGGGUGAGUGGCAGACGGGUGAGUCACGCGUGGGAAUCUACCCUUCUCUACGGGAUAGCUCCGGGAAACUGGAAUUAAUACCGUAUACGUCCUGAGGGAGAAAGAUUUAUCGGGGAAGGAUGAGCCCGCGUUGGAUUAGCUAGUUGGUGGGGUAAAGGCCUACCAAGGCGACGAUCCAUAGCUGGUCUAAGAGGAUGAUCAGCCACAUUGGGACUGGGACACGGCCCAAACUCCUACGGGAGGCAGCAGGGGGGAAUAUUGGACAAUGGGCGCAAGACUGAUCCAGCCAUGCCGCGUGAGUGAUGAAGGCCCUAGGGUUGUAAAGCUCUUUCAGUGGGGACGAUAAUGACGGUACCCACAGAAGAAGCCCCGGCUAACUUCGU
rnacentral:rRNA from 1 species